UUACGGCCAUAUCACGUUAAAUACCGGUUCUCGUACGAUCACUGAAGUUAAACAACGUCGAGGCUGGUCAGUACCUGGAUGGGUAACUGCUUGGUAAUACCAGGUGCUGUAAG
rnacentral:rRNA from 1 species